rnacentral:rRNA from 1 species
AGUCACUGACAUUAGAUACCCCUGUAGUCCCAGCCGUAAACAGUGUGCGUUAGGUAUGUCGGUAACCACGUGUUACUGAUGUGCCGAAGAGAAAUCGUGAAGCGCACCACCUGGGAAGUACGGUCGCAAGGCUGAAACUUAAAGGAAUUGGCGGGGGAGCACCACAACAGGUGGAGCCUGCGGUUUAAUUGGAUUCAACGCCGGACAUCUCACCGGAUAAGACAGCUGAAUGAUUGUCAAUCUGAAGGUUUUACAUGACUAGCUG